rnacentral:rRNA from 1 species
CCUACGGGUGGCAGCAGUGGGGAAUAUUGGACAAUGGGCGUAAGCCUGAACCAGCCAAGUCGCGUGAGGGAUGAAGGUUCUAUGGAUUGUAAACCUCUUUUAUAAGGGAAUAAAGUGUGGGACGUGUCCUGUUUUGUAUGUACCUUAUGAAUAAGGAUCGGCUAACUCCGUGCCAGCAGCAGCGGUAAGACGGAGGCUCCGAUCGUUAUCCGGAUUUAUUGGGUUUAAAGGGUGCGUAGGCGGCCUUGUAAGUCAGCGGUGAAAGUCUGUGGCUCAACCAUAGAAGUGCCGUUGAAACUGGGAGGCUUGAGUAUGGUAGAGGCAGGCGGAAUGCGUGGUGUAGCGGUGAAAUGCUUAGAUAUCACGCAGAACCCCGAUUGCGAAGGCAGCCUGCCAGGCCAUGACUGACGCUGAGGCACGAAAGCGUGGGGAUCAAACAGGAUUAGAUACCCUGGUAGUC